rnacentral:rRNA from 1 species
GACAUCCAGAGAACUUGGCAGAGAUGCCUCGGUGCCUUCGGGAACUCUGAGACAGGUGCUGCAUGGCUGUCGUCAGCUCGUGUUGUGAAAUUGUUGGGGUUAAGUCCCCGCAACGAGCGCAACCCCCUAUCCUUUGUUGCCAGCGAUUCGGUCGGGAACUCAAAGGAGACUGCCGGUGAUAACCGGAGGAGGUGGGGAUGACGUCAAGUCAUCAUGGCCCUUACGAGUAGGGCUACACACGUGCUACAAUGGCGUAUACAAAGAGAAGCGACCUCGCGAGAGCAAGCGGACCUCAUAAAGUACGUCGUAGUCCGGAUUGGAGUCUGCAACUCGACUCCAUGAAGUCGGAAUCGCUAGUAAUCGUAGAUCAGAAUGCUACGGUGAAUACGUUCCCGGGCCUUGUACACACCGCCCGUCACACCAUGGGAGUGGGUUGCAAAAGAAGUAGAUAGCUUAACCUUCGGGAGGGCGUUUACCACUUUGUGAUUCAUGACUGGGGUGAAGUCGUAACAAGGUAAGCGUACGUGU